rnacentral:rRNA from 1 species
GACGAACGCUGGCGGCGUGCUUAACACAUGCAAGUCGAACGGAAAGGCCCUGCUUUUGUGGGGUGCUCGAUUGGCGAACGGGGGAGUAACACGUGAGUAACCUGCCCUUGGCUUUGGGAUAACUUCAGGAAACUGGGGCUAAUACCGGGUAGGAGCUCCUGCUGCAUGGUGGGGGUUGGAAAGUUUCGGCGGUUGGGGAUGGACUCGCGGCUUAUCAGCUGGUUGGUGGGGUAGUGGUUUACCAAGGCUUUGAGGGGUAGCCGGCCUGAGAGGGUGACCGGCCACAUUGGGACUGAGAUACGGACCAGACUCCUACGGGAGGCAGCAGUGGGGAAUAUUGCACAAUGGGGGGAAGUCUGAUGCAGCAACGCCGCGUGCGGGAUGACGUCCUUCGGGUUGUAAACCGCUUUCGCCGGUGACGAAGCGUGAGUGACGGUAAUGGGUAAAGAAGCACCGGCUAACUACGUG